UAUCAUCAGCUUUUGAUCCCUUUUGUCAUCUCCUUCCCCCAAAACCAUUCUUUUUAAGUUUGGGAAGAAGAAGAAGUAGCUAAAAAUGGAGAGAAAUCUAGAAAAUCCAUUGACCCAAAUGAGGAAAUCAGUUGAAAAGCUUGGAUCUUCCAUUGAAAGUUAUGGAAAGAAGACACUAAUGAGGUUCUUGAUUGCAAGAUCAAUGAACCCAGAAAAAGCUGCAAGGAUGUUUUGUCAGUGGAAAAAAUGGAGGGCUGAAAUGGUUCCACUAGGGUACAUCACUGAUUCUGAAGUUGCAGAUGAAUUAGCAGCUGAAAAAAUUUAUUUGCAGGGAUUAUCCAAGAAUGGGCACCCUGUUGUGAUGGUUAAAAGUAACAAACAUUUUCAAUCCAAGGAUCCAGUUCAAUUCAAGAUAAAAAGGAUAUGGAACGCUUAAAUUCCAAAAAAUACUGUUAUGAGUUAUGAAGGAAUAUUGCUAAAGCAUCAAAAAGAGCAACAAUCUAUAGUGUUUUACCCAAGUUGCAGUCUUGUUAAAUGAUUCAUUUCACGGAUGCUAAUGAUUAUUCUUAACGAUGUGCAGAAUUCGUGGUUCAUAUAUUAGACAAAACAAUUGCAAGUUUUUACAGGUAACCCAUUUGCCUUCGUAUAGUGCGGAAACCAUUACUACAGAGACGCACAUAACCAGUGUUAUGAAAAGAUAUAUAAUUCUUGUAGCAUGGACGACAUUAUACAUCUCUUAUCAGCUAUGACACAGUCCAAAGAGUCAAAAUUACCGGCUUAGUAGAGGAACUCACUAGACUAUGUAUGUAGCUGCAGCUGUUUCUUUCUACAGGCAUACUACCCUGAGCGCUUAGCUACUUGUUACCUUUUACACAUGCCACAAUUCUUUGUCACCAUAUGGCGAUUUAUUUGUCGCUUCCUUGAU